rnacentral:lncRNA from 1 species
UUUUAUUGAUAAUUUAAGAUAGUGUACAUUUAUUGAUAAUUACAAUGAAAAUAUAAAAAGAAAAAUACAUAAUAGUGUUUAAGGAACAUUACAAGAUUGACUAAAAAAUCUAACAUGGUCAAAAAUAACUAGACCAAUUGAAAACACAUAAACUAAUGUUGAUGACGUAAACAAAACCACUACAAAACAUCAUUUUGCUUCAGUUUCAACUUUCAAAUCAAUAUAUGUUGAACUCGUUGAGUUUGCUGAGGUUUCUCAUACUUUUCCUACUUGGUAGGUACUUUCAAUCGCGUUUGUGAACCUCACUAAUUUUUAUUGGAACACGUUGUGCAAGCCUGCAAUAAAACCAACAAACAAAUAAUAAAAAACCACAAUAUUUACACAAUGAUUCAUACACUAUGAAAUAAGAAAAAAAAUAUAUGUAAUUUAUAACUGAAAUAAUAAUUAGUAUAAAAUUAUCAUUCUCUUAGUAAAAUCACUCCCUCUUCGUCACCCACACCCUCCUAGAGGUGCGAGAAUAAAGGCCAAUCAGAUAUGUAAUUAUAGUAAAAGUAGAAAAACAUGAUCAAUAAGAGAAAAUAAAAAUCUGAUUGAAUAAAACUAGUAAGAUAUCAUUAGGCUUUUUAAAUAAAAUAGUAGCACAUGUUUAAAGAAAUUCUAUUAUUUAAAAAAUAUAUAUUUUUCUGUUAUUUAUACCUUUUAUAAUAUCUUAUUUUCUUCCGCAGAUUUUACUAUAUAAGAUUAUCUUUCUUUAAAAAAAAAUAUUUUAUCAUAUAUCAACGUAUAAUAUCAAUAUUAUCCAUAAUAAAUUUACACAUUAAAAUCAGUAUCAAUAUCUAUAUCAUAUCUAUCUAUGUAUCUAAAUUUUGUUAAAAAAAAAUCAUCUAAUAAAAUCUUAAAAUUAGUUAUCAUAAGCAUAAUAAGCCACUUCAAUAACUUUAAUCCUAAGCUAAUUUAGUCUAUCUGGCAAAUGUCAAUAACCUUUUAAGCAUAACUAAUGACAGUUUGCAUCAUUUAGAGAUGAAAAUCAACAAGGCCUGUGUAACAGAGCAAUGAAAGAAACGACAAUGUCGAAUAGGGAAUUCAAGCAAGUCAUUCAGAAAAAAACUUGUUCCAAAUAUUUAACACCUAUCAAAAUGCUGCAUACAACAGUAUAACCCAAAGCCAGAUGAUGGAAAAAUACUUUUAAAAUGCACCCUAAUUAAAUACAAAACCAUAACUAAUCGGCAAUAAAUAAUGAUUUUCGCAAGAUGUUAUAACUGAUUUAGAAGCAAAACAAGACCAACUGUGUAAACAAAAAUAAUCUUAGAAAAAAGAAUCAAGGAUGAAUCAAAGAUGAAUCAAAUAAUGACAAGAGAGUUUAACACACUAACCUGAAUGAUGGAAACUGGUGCUUCAUAAUCACAUUUAGCAAAAGUGCUAUUACUAAAACCUGAAACAUGCAAAGUCAAGAAACUACUUUACAAACUAAUUCAAGUUAACCAAUGUAUUAAGAGAAGAAUAUGUACUUGCUUUAAUCCUUGAUAAAUCCCAAAGAGACUCACUGCAGUAAAAUAAUGAUAGAUAAAGUAAAAUAGACUUGCUUGUUACCUUGAAAACCAGAAAAUAAUUUCAAGUUAAUAAGAUGUUCCAUCUCAAAAUUAUAAAGUACUAAAUAUAAAAUAACUGAUAAUAUUUAAUUACAUAUCAUGGAUUAAUUAAAUUUAUAAAUAAUUGAUAUUGUAAAAUUGCAUGAUAUUUCUUUUUCUCAUAAAACAAGAAAAUUUGUCACUGCACCAAAUCUUAUCAGAAACGAUAUUCAUCUACACAAAGACAUGCUAAGAAACACUAUAAUCAAAAUAAAUAAUAAUCCUUUCACCGCAAAUAUUUUACAUUUAUUUGUAUUAUAUUUUCUCUUACCAAAAUAAAGAUUUAUAUAUUUUUCAGGAACUUACAAUAUAAUUAUUCCUAAAGAAAUAUAAGGAAAGUCAAACAGAACAUGGAUGAAAGACCUCUUUGCUUUCCCAUAUGUAAAAGGCUCCUUCUUUUUUUUCUUGUAGCUCCUUCAGUCUCUCUGCACUUUCAGCAUCCUCUACUGAAAAAAUAAAAUAAAAUAUAUAUAUAUAUAUAUAUAUAUAUAUAUAUAUAUAUAUAUAUAUCCACACCAUACAAUAUCUAAUCAAAGGAGAUCUAACUAAUUAAUACAGUAAAAUAUUUUUCUACACCAAAUUAUUAUCACUAAAUUACAAAAGAAAACAUUGUGAUCCUAUAUUUCCUGCGUGAGAUCUAAAACAUAUGUAAGAUCUUAAAAAUGUAUAUCGAAUACUAUCUCUAUAUAAUGCUCCAAACCUGGACAUACAGUGACACAUUUUUAUGCUCCAAUCCUCUGUUUAGACUUUAUUUGGGUAGAACACAAAUCUUAAAAAUCUACUUACAUUUCUUUUAAUCAAAUCUUAAAAACCUUUCGAUUAAAAACGAAAACACGAUGCAGAGAUACUCACCACCGCACCCAAUACGCAAAUCCGCAACGGCAACAGCAAAAAAACCUAACCUUUCAGAGUUCUUCAACACCGCACCCAACACCUAAAAACAAAAUAAACGCACAAUAAAGGCAACGAACACAACAUCUAAAGGGACAAUAAAGACAUCGAAAAAACCUUUCCUUUUCACAGUUGCCCAAAAAGUCAAACUUCCACCAACGACUUCAAUGGCAGAUAGAGACAAAAGAUACAUAGACCCAAACACAAAC